rnacentral:rRNA from 1 species
AUUGAACGCUGGCGGCAGGCCUAACACAUGCAAGUCGAACGGUAACAGGAAGCAGCUUGCUGCUUCGCUGACGAGUGGCGGACGGGUGAGUAAUGUCUGGGAAACUGCCUGAUGGAGGGGGAUAACUACUGGAAACGGCAGCUAAUACCGCAUAACGUCGCUAGACCAAAGAGGGGGACCUUCGGGCCUCUUGCCAUCGGAUGUGCCCAGAUGGGAUUAGCUAGUAGGUGGGGUAACGGCUCACCUAGGCGACGAUCCCUAGCUGGUCCGAGAGGAUGACCAGCCACACUGGAACUGAGACACGGUCCAGACUCCUACGGGAGGCAGCAGUGGGGAAUAUUGCACAAUGGGCGCAAGCCUGAUGCAGCCAUGCCGCGUGUAUGAAGAAGGCCUUCGGGUUGUAAAGUACUUUCAGCGGGGAGGAAGGCGAUAAGGUUAAUAACCUUGUCGAUUGACGUUACCCGCAGAAGAAGCACCGGCUAACUCCGUGCCAGCCGCCGCGGUAA